rnacentral:rRNA from 1 species
CUACGUGCCAGCAGCCGCGGUAAUACGGAAGGUCCGGGCGUUAUCCGGAUUUAUUGGGUUUAAAGGGAGCGUAGGCCGGAGAUUAAGUGUGUUGUGAAAUGUAGACGCUCAACGUCUGACUUGCAGCGCAUACUGGUUUCCUUGAGUACGCACAACGUUGGCGGAAUUCGUCGUGUAGCGGUGAAAUGCUUAGAUAUGACGAAGAACUCCGAUUGCGAAGGCAGCUGACGGGAGCGCAACUGACGCUGAAGCUCGAAGGUGCGGGUAUCGAACAGGAUUAGAUAUCCUGGUAGUCCGCACAGUAAACGAUGGAUGCCCGCUGUUGGUACGUGGUAUCAGCGGCUAAGCGAAAGCAUUAAGCAUCCCACCUGGGGAGUACGCCGGCAACGGUGAAACUCAAAGGAAUUGACGGGGGCCCGCACAAGCGGAGGAACAUGUGGUUUAAUUCGAUGAUACGCGAGGAACCUUACCCGGGCUUGAA